rnacentral:rRNA from 1 species
CACAUGCAAGUCGCGCGGUCAGCAAUGGCAGCGGCGGACGGGUGCGUAACGCGUAGGAACGUGUCUAGAGGUGGGGGACAACCCUGGGAAACUGGGGCUAAUACCGCAUAUGGGCUGAGGCCCAAAGCCGUGAGGCGCCUUUGGAGCGGCCUGCGUCCGAUUAGCUAGUUGGUGGGGUAAAGGCCUACCAAGGCUCCGAUCGGUAGCUGGUCUGAGAGGACGAUCAGCCACACUGGGACUGAGACACGGCCCAGACUCCUACGGGAGGCAGCAGUGGGGAAUAUUGGACAAUGGGCGCAAGCCUGAUCCAGCAAUGCCGCGUGGGUGAAGAAGGUCUUCGGAUCGUAAAGCCCUUUCGACAGGGGCGAUGAUGACGGUACCUGUAGAAGAAGCCCCGGCUAACUUCGUGCCAGCAGCCGCGGUAAUACGAAGGGGGCUAGCGUUGCUCGGAAUUACUGGGCGUAAAGGGCGCGUAGGCGGCUUAGUCAGUCAGGCGUGAAAUUCCUGGGCUUAACCUGGGGGCUGCGUUUGAGACGGCUAGGCUAGAGGGUAGGAGAGG